rnacentral:rRNA from 1 species
GACGAACGCUGGCGGCGUGCUUAACACAUGCAAGUCGAACGGAGUGGCGAACGGGUGAGUAACACGUGGGUGAUCUGCCUUGCACUUCGGGCUAAGCUUGGGAAACUGGGUCCAAUACCGGAUAUUGCAUGAUGAGCUCGCGGCCAAUCAGCUUGUAGGUGGGGUAAUGGCCUACCAUGGCGUCGACGGGUAGCCGGCCUGAGAGGGUGUACGGCCACAUUGGGACUGAGAUACGGCCCAGACUCCUACGGGAGGCAGGAGUGGGGAAUAUUGCACAAUGGGCGGAAGCCUGAUGCAGCGACGCCGCGUGGGGGAUGAAGGCCUUCGAGUUGUAAACUCCUUUCGGCAGGGACGCGGUACCUGUAUAAGAAGCACCGGCUAACUACGUGCCAGCAGCCGCGGUAAUAC